AUAGAACCUGAUGAUUUUAAAAAUACUAUUGCAGAAAUUCAAUAGUAAACUAUGAAACCAAAUCCACAGCUAUUUUUUUUUUUAACAGAUAAAAGCUGUAUGACUUGGGUGGAGUAGCCUAUAGAAAUUAGCUUGGCUGAAGCACUACAGUGAGAAUCUAUGUUUGGCUGAGAAUAACCUUGGAUUAUAUCCUAUGUGCAAGCUAACUUGUUUAGUCAUGGAUGCUGGCAAAAGAUACGAGGCUUGGGUCAGAAACAAAGGAACUUCUUACUCUCAUGACAUAGCAAGCAGUUUAAGCUUUGUACUUACUUUGGAUUGCUCUGUUUAUCUCCAAGCACCACUAACAUAAUUAGAAUGGCCCAAUGCAGGGAAUUUGUGUUAUACAGUCAACGAACCCUGAAUCUGAGAAACCUCAACUUUGCCCGAGAGAGAGACAUUGUCCUUACUAUUCUCAACAACAGACAAACCUGCCUCUCCUCCAAAUGGAAAUACAAUCUUUAUUAUGUUUCAAGGCUGUUUGCUAUACAAAUAUCUUUGAAAAGAUAGUCUGGAACGAAAGCUGUCAAUGCUUCUGCUCAGAAAACAUAUGGAAACCCAACAUUCAUAAAGAGUUGUCUCCAACAGAAACUGUGCCCAUCAAGACCUGGC
rnacentral:lncRNA from 1 species